GUUUGGGCUAAGCCGCCUCCUUUCCGCCUGCGUUGGAGAGAGAGGUACCAGAAGGAAUGAAAGGACUGGGGCUUGUCUCCAUGGCAACUGAAAGAAAGAGGUGGGUUAUAAAUCCUUCGCCACCCUCCUGUGGCGAAGGAGGGGAAGUGGGAGCCGGGAAGUAGAGUUGGCCUUUUGCAGGAGAGUCUGGAGCCCCUUUCUGGGUGAUGCAUUGGGGGCCAUAGAAGGAUUUGGCUGCCGCUUUGGAGCAUGGAUUUUUUUUUUAAUCAUCUUCCUUUCUCUUUUGGAGAGAAAAAUUGGUCACCUCCAGGACUGAGACCCUGACCCUUCCAAGCAUCCCCACUACCAAAGGCUGCCCAAGCCCGGAAGGAUCCCAUCCCGUUCUGUACUCUGAGGUCACUUCCUCACUCCGUCAAAUUUCACUGGACUGUGGGCUAAUUAAAAGUGCCUCCGUAUUAGCGGGGCGUGGUGGCCCAUGCCUAUAAUCCCAGCUACUUGGGAAGCUGAGGCAGGAAAAUUGCUUGAACCCGGGUGGCGGAGGCUGCAGUGACCCAACAUUGUGCAACAAGAGCGAAACUCCGUCUCAAAAAAAAUAAAAAAUAAAAAAGAGUGCCUCCCUGGGGAGACUGUAAUGCCCACUGGGCAGUGAUCCUAAUGCCCCUUGGGCAGUGAUCCUUAUUCCCCUCUCCCAUAAUGAUUGGUUGUAGCAGGCUGAACAAAAAGGUUGAGCUUCGCUUGUGCUUGCUGAAUAGAAUUCUCACGCCCACUCCACGUUAGCUCCCCUCACUGUAGGACUAGCUCUGAAAAUUCUAGCUCCUGUAGGAAGCCAACACAGACGGAUCUACAAGAACCAAAAACAGCUAUAGCUACUCUUCUAAAUCUCAGUGCCUGACAUUGCCUCUCUUUCUGCCUCCUCUCUCCACCCCCCAAAAAAUGUGGUCCUCCUUGACCUGAGGGAGCUUCCGUCCAAGUCUGAGCUCUGAUCAUCCUGAAGAAUCAAAGUAUCAUCAUCCCUUGGCUGGCAAGAUGAACUCCAACAUCAAAACACUUGAAACAGUAGUAUUUUUACACAAUUUGCCCACUGCCUCUACAUCUCACUUAGUCCUUGCAGUAACAUUUGGAUGAUGAGGUAACUUAUCCAGAAGCACAAAGCCUAAAGAAUGACAGAGCUUGGACUCCUGAGAAGUUCAGCUACUGCCCGCCUUAUGAUAACCAAAAGAAAGCGGCCGGGCGCAGUGGCUCAACUCCUGUAAUCCCAGCACUUUGGGAGGCCGAGGCGUGCGAAUCACAAGGUCAGGAGUCCGAGACCAGCCUGGCCAACACAGGGAAACCCCGUCUCUACUAAAAAAAACAAACACAAAAAUUAGUUGGGCGUGGUGGUGGGCACCUGUAAUCCCAGCUACUUGGGAGGCUGAGGCAGGAGAGUCACUUGAAUCCGGUAGGCGGAGGUUGCAGUGAGCCGAGAUCGUGCCACUGCACUCCAGCCUGGGAGACAGUGAGACUCCGUCUCUAAAAAAAAAUGAAUAAAUAAAUAAGAAGGCACACCACAAGUUCGAGACCACUUCUACAAAAAAUAAAAAAUAAAAAAAAUUAGGCCAGGCACAGUGGCUCAUGCCUGUAAUCCAAGCACUUUGGGAGGCUGAGGCGGGCGGAUCACUGGAGGUCAGGAGUUUCAGACCAGCCUGGCCCAACAUGGUGAAACCCUGUCUCUACUAAAAAUACAAAACUUAGCUGGGCGUAGUGGUGCGUGCCUGUAAUCCCACUUACUCCAGAAGCUGAGGCAGAAGAACUGCUUGAACCUGGGAUGCAGAGGUUGCAGUGAGCUGAGAUUGCACCACUGCACUCCAGCCUGGGCAACAGAGUGGGACUCUGCCUCAAAAAAAAAAAAAAAAAGAAAAUGAAGAUGACCAAAUGGGCUUCUAGAUGGCUAAUGAUAUUCUGUUUCUUUGAUCUGGGUGGGGGUUACAUGGGUGUGUUCCCUUUGUAAUAUGUUAUCAAGACAUUUUGUGCACUUUUUUGGGUAUUAUACUGAAAGAAAACAUUUAUUUUUUAAAAAGUUGAAAAAUUGCCU
rnacentral:lncRNA from 1 species